rnacentral:lncRNA from 1 species
UAAAACGCACCAGCUUCCCCUCCUUUCUUCAACUUCUCUUCGCCGUUAGCGCUCAAUAGAAGCAGAUCCUUCCCUACCUCUCUCAGCAGUGUAAAUUUCGUUUUUAUCAGAUCCUUCCCUCCUUUUCGGCUUGAGUUCCCUGAAGCUUUCAUAUUUUCAGUUCCUUCACUCUCAAGCAUUUCCUUCCACCUCCUCCCUAUUUAAUCGGCAUCUAUUUAGAUCAGGAUUUAAAUUGUGGCCGCGGUCGCGUUUCCGGUCGCGUCGCGUUUGUCGUGG